GUCUCCAGCCAUAUCGCCCUGAACAUGCUCAACCUCAUCCCAUCCUGGCAGUUAAGCAGGCCGGGCUGGACAGUGCUUGGAUGAGGGAAGCUGCUGCUGGCC
rnacentral:rRNA from 1 species